ACAAAAACAAAGACUAUCCCUCUAAACUUGGAAAUUAGGGAUUCAAUUUCCAAAAAAACACAGCGAAUGAGUUCAAUGAUGAUCCCCACAAAAUUUUCUCUGGUUAAUAUUCUAGAUAAUUCCUUCGUGCAUCACUUUCGAUCACAAUUUUUUGCCUCUUUCCCUCCCAAUGAAGUUCUCAUAUCCUCCCUUAUUGCUCCAAUUUCAGAAAAAAAAAGAAACGGUGACCAGAGGAGAGAUUCUAAGCCCCAUCAUGUUUUAAUUUCAAUCCUCAAUCACUAGGUGGAGAAAUCCAAGUAGAAUGGUUAAAGGGAGUAGAUAUUUCAGAGAUCUUCAAUUUCAAGAAGAUAUAUGGUUGUUUGAUCUGCACCAGUAGCAUCUAUUUUGCUCUAAGCCACCAAAAUUGAAGGUGGAUCUUCAAUCUUUUCAGCAUGAACAAUUGGGUUUCUGCUGGUACAGAUCCACCAAGCCAUACAGGAAGCACCAUUUGGAAAUGAUUCAGCUCUCUACAAGACCAAGACCCUUAUGACGAGUUCGAAUGUGAGUUUUUCACUUUGAAAGUAAUAAAAGCAGCUACUAAGAAUUUCUGUUCAGCUAAUGUCAUCAGAGAAUAUGGUUAUCAUGGUGAAGAUCUGAUUUAUAAGGGUGUUCUACCUAAUAAGAUACCAAUACGAGUGAGAAAAUCCCUACAGAUACAGAUAGAAGAAGGAAGGUCAUAUCACAGUAUUUAGAUAACAUAGAUUUUUAUUUGGCACUCCGACAUCAAAAUAUCAAUAGAUUGUUGGGACAUUACUCAGAUAAACACAAUCUUCUACUGGUAUAUGAGCACGUGGAUACUAAUGGUGACCUUUAUACCGCUUUACAUGGUGGUGGGAAUUUAAAGAAGAGGUUCAACUGGAAAACAAGAACUGAGAUAUGUCUUGGGAUCGCAAGGGGUCUUGCUUUCUUACAUCACAAAGAUGAAUCAAAAACCCUUGUUGUCCACAGAGAUAUUCAUCCUACAAAUAUUUUUCUCGAUAAGCAUCUGAGUCCCAAAAUAUCUGGUUUUGAUGUGGCUAAGCUCUGUAGUGGUGAAGAUAUGGACUACCCCACCCAAAUUUGGGGAACAUUAGGAUACAUUGACCCUGAGUAUUACAUGGGUGCCAUAUAUGAUAAGACCGAUGUUUACAGUUUUGGAGUACUCGUACUUGAACUAUUGGGCGGAAAGAAACCAAAUGCAGGUUUAGAUGGUGCUGAACCCUGCGACCUUGUGUCUUUUGCCCAUGAGUUACACAAGUUGGGCAAUCUUUUUCCACUCUUUGAUGAUGAUUUGAAAGGGAGCUGUCCACUAAAAAAGCAGCUAUGAUUUUGAAUUUGGCAGUAUCGUGUACAGCUAGCACUCGUAAGUUGAGGCCUACCAUGAUUGACGUAGUAAUUAUUCUGGAAGGAAUUAAAACCAACACCAAGACCCCUGAAGUCGAUCAUCAAUGUUUUUUAGAACAAUUUAACCAUCUCGAAAUAAUAGCAUUCCGCAAGGCAAACAUGAUCCAAACCGAUGCAUUUGGGAGUUUUUACCAGGAGGGUGUUCUUCCUAAUGGGAUGUCAAUCACAGUGAAACGCUUUUCGCCAAUUGUAGAAUCAGGAAGGAAAAAUGUAGAGUUUCAAAACGAAAUAGACUCUGUUUUGCCAUUAUGACACCAAAAUAUCAUUAGAUUAUUGGGGCAUUAUUCAGAUAAGGUCAAUCUUCUACUAGUAUAUGAUCAUAUGGAGAAUGGUGACCUUCAAACGGCUUUAUUUGGUGAUGUGAAUUUAAAGAAGAGCCUCGACUGGAAAACCAGAGUUAAGAUUUGUCUUGGAAUAGCGAAGGGUCUUGCUUUCCUACAUUUUAAAGAUCAAUCGAAACCCCUCAUUAUCCACAGAUAUAUUGAACCUGCAAAUAUUUUACUUGAUAAGAAUUUUCAUCCCAAAAUAUCUGGUUUUGGGGGGUCUAGGCUUUGUGAAGGAGAAGAUACACACUACACCACAGAGGUUAUCGGAACAUAUGGAUACUUUGACCCUGAGUAUUUUAUACAGGGUAUCGUAAAUGAUAAGACCGAUGUUUACAGCUUUGGAGUGCUCAUACUUGUAAUAUUUAGUGGAAAGAGACCGAUAUACAGAGAAAAAAGAUCCGAGUCCGUCAACCUAGUGUCAUUUGCCCAAGAGUUAAAAGAGAAGGUUGAUCUUUAUAAAUUGAUUGAUGAAGACUUGAAUAUGCAAUAUUCAGCUGAAGAAGCUACUAUGAUUUUGAAUUUGGCAAUUAUGUGCACUAGUUUUACUGGUAAAUUGAGGCCUACCAUGUUGGAAGUUGUUAAUAUUCUUGAACGAAAAACUAAAAUGAAGACUCCUAGAGUCGAUCCACUAUUUUCAACAGUAGUCAAUUCUGAGGAGGUCAUCUCUAAUGUCAAAUCAAACAGCCCCUACAAAGAAACAGAGCUGACAGAUGAAGGGUUUGUUUCAGACCUUGAUUAUUUUUCUGAUGAGAUUGGGGAGGCAUCAGUAUCCUCUGAAGUUGCACCAGAGGUGCCAGAAGAAAAUGAUAACAUUGAGUUUAUAGAAUAUGGUUCUAAACACACAGUUAGGCUAGAUGAAACUGGAAGUCUCUCUUUCAGACGCAUUGAAGUUGCAACUAAAGAUUUUAGCCUUGCAAACAAGAUCGGACAAGGUUCUACUAGUUCAGUUUACAGGGGUGUGCUUCCAAAUGGAAAGAUAGUCGCAGUGAAACAACUGCUUAUGACAUCAGACCAGGGAAAACAAGUUUUCAGAAUGAAGUAAACAUUAGUUCGUCCCUCGUUAAUCUUGUCAGAAUGUUGUGGCAUUGUACAGGAAACAACCAACACUGUUUAGUCUACGAGUACAUGGAAAAUGGAAGUCUAUAUGGUGCUCUAUUUGGUAAGAAGUGUUCGAGUUUUACUGUUUUUUUAACUAACUGAUCUACUUAUAAAAAUGUACUAACAAUUUCAGUUGCAGAAAACGUGAAAGAUAAACAUACCUGGCCAGCAAGAGUUAAAAUCUGCAUUGGAGUAGCGAAAGGUCUUUCCUUCCUACACAGUGAUGAUUCGAAAUAUAAGAUUGUUCACAGAGAUAUCAAACUUUCAAAUAUCUUACUUGAUAAAGAUCUUAGUCCCAAGAUAUCUGAUUUUGGAUUGGCAAUGCAUUACAAUAGAGAAAUUACACACAUCAACACCGGUCUUGUUGGAACAGUGUAAGAAAACGAAUAGAAAUAUUAUUUCUAGACUUCAGGUUCUUAGUUAACUUACUGGAAUGAAAUAGUUCUUCUGUGUUUCUCUUUUCUGACAAAGAAUAUACUUUUUCGUAUGUUGAAGAUGAUAUAUGGCCCCUGAAUAUGUUAUUCUAGGAACAGUUACUGAGAAAAUAGAUGUUUACAGCUUUGGAAUAGUGACACUUGAACUUAUUACUGGUAAGAAGAGAGUUGAGUGGAUUUCAGACCAUGAAAGUGUUUCCCUCCUGGAUUUGGUCUAUGAUUUACAACAGAAGGGAGAUAUUCUGGGGGUCGUUGAUCAGGACCUGAAGAUGAAUAUUCCAGUGAAAGAAGCAGAAACGAUGUUGAGUUUGGCAAUGUUGUGUACGAAUCCUGAUCCAAAUUCAAGGCCUACUAUGUCAGAAGUGGUAAGCAUCCUUGAAGGAAGGACUAUGAUAAAGGCAAGUACCCCAUCCAAUAUACACGGGAAAAGCAGAAUCAAUUCUACAAUUGACCGUGCUGCAACAUCAACCCACAACUUAACCAGUACUUCAACCCACCUCUGGAAUGAUUUCUCCUCUAGUAACCUGUAUCAUCACAAUGAUGGGUUGCCUACUGUUUUAUCCACUCAUGUUGGUUCAGAAGAGAAGGAAUACGGGAACGAUGCUGAAUUCCACCAUGACUUCGUUUCUGAUGGAUGGGUGUCAUUUGAUAAUGCAAAGUUGGAUUAUAUAUCUUUGGGCGAACGCCCACCAAUAUCAGAUGAUAGGCCGCAAGCUUCUCCAGCUUACGAGGUUAGCCCCGAAAGAGAGUAUAAAUAUGUUGAACCCUCUUUUAAUGAAGAAGGUAAACUUCAAAUUAUGUGUACCGAUGAGGAGUUUGAAGCUGGGUGCAGGGAGUGGAAAAAUGCUUUAGUAGGGUUCUUUGUGGGAGAAAACGUCCACUUUGUUUUAGACAUAAAUAUGGUUAGAAAACUCUGGGAAGUGAAUGGAGAUGUUUCAGUUGUCUCUAUGGAUAAUGGGCACUUUAUGUUUCAAUUCAGUUGUGUCGAAGAUAAGAUACGAGUUCUACAAUCAGCUGAUCUUUGGCAAAUCCAACAAAGACCAUUGAUACUAAGAGAAUGGGAUUGGAAGCUGAAAUUCACUAGACUUGAUGAGAUGGAAUCUCUUCCUAUAUGGGUGAAAAUUUACAACUUACCACUCUUCCUCUGGACUCCUUCCUUUCUCAGCAAAAUUGUGUGUGGGUUGGGGAUUCCUCUGAUCAGAGAACAAAAAGUAGAGAGCGAUUAGCUUAUGCCAUGCUUUGUGUUGAAGUCAAUGCUGGUAAAGUAUUGCCCGAGUGUUUGAAUAUCAUAGUUAAAGGAAUGGAGUAUGAGCUGAAGUUAGAGUACGAAAGUUCGCAAAUUGCUGCAAGACUACAAAACAAAUCCAGGUUCAAAUGUACUAUACGAGUUAGGAUUCUUAAUGCAUGUAUGUCAUGUUUAAUUGAAACCCUAAGAACUUGUCUAACUUUUUUGAUCUCAUGUAAUUGCUAUUAUUUGUAGACUUCUACUCUCUUUAUCACUAGUUUUUGUAGUUGAAACUAA